UACGUAGGGUGCAAGCGUUGUCCGGAAUUAUUGGGCGUAAAGAGCUCGUAGGUGGCCUGUCGCGUCGGCUGUGAAAACUCGGGGCUCAACUCCGAGCUUGCAGUCGAUACGGGCAGGCUAGAGUUCGGCAGGGGAGACUGGAAUUCCUGGUGUAGCGGUGAAAUGCGCAGAUAUCAGGAGGAACACCGGUGGCGAAGGCGGGUCUCUGGGCCGAUACUGACACUGAGGAGCGACAGCAUGGGGAGCAAACAGG
rnacentral:rRNA from 1 species